CCAAUAGCGUAUAUUAAAGUUGUUGCAGUUAAAAAGCUCGUAGUUGAAUUUCGGGGUUCUACCGUUGGUCGGGCUUUGUCUGUACUGGCGUGUAGAAUUUCUACCUUCUGGGGAACCAUCAUGUUAUUAAUUUAACGUGGUGGGAAACCAGGACCUUUACCUUGAAAAAAUUAGAGUGUUCAAAGCAGGCUUAUGUCUGAAUACAUUAGCAUGGAAUAAUAGAAUAGGACGGUGGUCCUGUUUUGUUGGUUUCUGAAUCACCGUAAUGAUUAAUAGGGAUAGUUGGGGGCAUUAGUAUUCAAUUGUCAGAGGUGAAAUUCUUGGAUUUAUUGAAGACUAACUUCUGCGAAAGCAUUUGCCAAGGAUGUUUUCAUUAAUCAAGAACGAAAGUUAGGGGAUCGAAGACGAUCAGAUACCGUCGUAGUCUUAACCACAAACUAUGCCGACUAGGGAUCGGACGAUGUUAAUUUUUCUUGACUCGUUCGGCGCCUUACG
rnacentral:rRNA from 1 species